UACGAAGGGACCUAGCGUAGUUCGGAAUUACUGGGCUUAAAGAGUUCGUAGGUGGUUGAAAAAGUUAGUGGUGAAAUCCCAGAGCUUAACUCUGGAACUGCCAUUAAAACUUUUCAGCUAGAGUAUGAUAGAGGAAAGCAGAAUUUCUAGUGUAGAGGUGAAAUUCGUAGAUAUUAGAAAGAAUACCAAUUGCGAAGGCAGCUUUCUGGAUCAUUACUGACACUGAGGAACGAAAGCAUGGGUAGCGAAGAGGAUUAGAUACCCUCGUAGUCCAUGCCGUAAACGAUGUGUGUUAGACGUUGGAAAUUUAUUUUCAGUGUCGCAGGGAAACCGAUAAACACACCGCCUGGGGAGUACGACCGCAAGGUUAAAACUCAAAUGAAUUGACGGGGACCCGCACAAGUAGUGGAGCAUGUGGUUUAAUUCGAAGAUACGCGCAGAACCUUACCAACACUUGACAUGUUCGUCGCGACUCUAAGAGAUUAGAGUUUUCGGUUCGGCCGGACGAAACACAGGUGCUGCAUGGCUGUCGUCAGCUCGUGUCGUGAGAUGUUGGGUUAAGUCCCGCAACGAGCGCAACCCUCACUUUUAGUUGCCAUCAUUAAGUUGGGCACUCUGAAAGAACUGCCAGUGAUAAGCUGGAGGAAGGUGGGGAUGACGUCAAGUCCUCAUGGCCCUUACGUGUUGGGCUACACACGUGCUACAAUGGUAUCUACAACAGGAAGCAAGACUGCGAAGUUUAGCAAAUCCCUAAAAGAUACCUCAGUUCGGAUUGCACUCUGCAACUCGAGUGCAUGAAGCUGGAAUUACUAGUAAUCGUGGAUCAGCGUGCCACGGUGAAUGCGUUCCCGGGUCU
rnacentral:rRNA from 1 species